AUUGAACGCUGGCGGCAUGCCUUACACAUGCAAGUCGAACGGUAACAGGUCUUCGGAUGCUGACGAGUGGCGAACGGGUUAGUAAUACAUCGGAACGUGCCUAGUAGUGGGGGAUAACUACUCGAAGGAGUGGCUAAUACCGCAUGAGAUCUACGGAUGAAAGCAGGGGAUCGCAAGACCUUGUGCUACUAGAGCGGCCGAUGGCAGAUUAGGUAGUUGGCGGGAUAAAAGCUUACCAAGCCGACGAUCUGUAGCUGGUCUGAGAGGACGAUCAGCCACACUGGGACUGAGACACGGCCCAGACUCCUACGGGAGGCAGCAGUGGGGAAUUUUGGACAAUGGGCGCAAGCCUGAUCCAGCAAUGCCGCGUGCAGGAUGAAGGCCUUCGGGUUGUAAACUGCUUUUGUACGGAACGAAAAGCCCUGGGUUAAUACCCUGGGGUCAUGACGGUACCGUAAGAAUAAGCACCGGCUAACUACGUGCCAGCCGCCGCAGUAA
rnacentral:rRNA from 1 species